GGCAUCAUGAGGACAGGAAGCCAGCUCUGCAGCACCUUUCAGCCCCUCAGUACAUCUAGUUGCUGUCAACCACAGAACUCACACCAUUCUGUUUCAUUCUCUGUUUGGACAGUAAGCUCACCUCCCCUCUCUCUCCUCACGCUACUGCAGGGUGGGAGAUGCAACAAUGGCCUUGAGAACAGCAGAAAGUGUGUUGGUUGUCUUUCUCUGGUCUGUAGCAGUGGUACUGGGUCAGGAUGGCUGGAGUGUGAAAUACACCACUCAGAGUAUCUGUACCUUGAAGGGGUCGUCAGUGGAUUUGUUCUGCUCUUACACAUAUCCCAGUGGUACAGUCACAACAACCUUCUGGUUCACUAAAUGGGGGACUGGUGUAGAACCUAAAGAUCUAGGUCAGGACCCAGAGUAUGCAGGUCGUCUGGAGUAUCAUGGGGAUAAGAAGAAAGACUGUACCCUGAGAAUCACAGACCUGAGAGAGAGAGACUCAGCUUCGUAUUGGUUCAGAUUACUAACAGAUCAGACCAGAGGGAAAUAUUCUGGAAGUCCUGGAGUCACUCUGUCUGUAACAGCUCUGCAGGUGAAGGUAAUUUCUAAAACUUGGUCAAAUUGGGUGACACUGACCUGUAUCACCACCUGUACUCUGACUGACAACCCCACCUACAUCUGGUACAAGAACGGACACAAAGUAAAGGAGGACACCUCCAGCAUGUACUCAAACUACUUUAGUGAUGCAAACAGUUACUCCUGUGCUGUA